UUGGGAUUGGAAAUUAUUCUAGUAUCUCUAAAAUUCUAAAAAAGUGUCUAUCCUUGUUUUGUGUCUUUUUUCAUAUAAUUUGAUUUUUUCUUCUUGUCAAAUUGAAAGUCUCUAUCAAUCAGAUUAUUCUAGGUUGUCAAGGAUAGGUUCUUUGAAGGUCUAGUAUGAAAAAUCCUUUCGGUGAUCUAGGUUGCUAAGAACAAGUUUUUUAGAUGUCUAGUAGAAAAACUAUUAUCUAUCUUUUUGUGUUCUAUUAUGUCUUUUUUUAUUCCUUCCAACUUCGUCCGUUUAUAUUCUUUAUCAUUCAUUCAUGUUUUUCACUCUUCUUCAUUUGUUUUUACGUGAAGCUGCCGAGAGGAGAAGGAUGCAUGAUGCCACUACGAAAGGAGGAGACAGAAUUGUGAAUGGGUCGAAGAGAAAAGAGGCUAGAUUUGCUAUGAUGAAAGUUCAGUAGGUGCCCGGGAGGAUGCAACAACAACAGAUGCAGGUAGACCAGAGGACACGUACCAUCUCGAUUAAGUAUUGCACAUGACGACAUCAAUACAAAUAUAGCUUGACUCCCAGGAAGAUGUUGUUGUUGUCGGAGCUACUGACGAUGUUUGAUGGUGCUGUGACAGAGCAUUUCAUCGGUGAGGUAAAUAUCUUCAUUCAUUCACUCAGCCAUUGCAUUUGAAUAUCAUCAUACUGUAGUUGAAGAAUGAAGACAUGAUUUAGAAAUUCAUUACUCAUGAAUUCAUGAUGUAUUUGAUAAUUAUUCGGGUGGAAUAUUAUUGUUUAAUGCGUGAUGUCUUGUAUCGUUCGUAUGUAAGUUCAUAACAAUCAAUAUUUAAUUAAGUUUAUGUGUGCUUCUCUUUUGACCGAUAUAAAAAUAUAUUUUAAGAAGUUAAAUAAUUUUUAAUUGAGGACAAUUUUCAUCUGUCAACUUGAAAAUAUAUAUGCAUUAACAUUUUGGCACUUUAGAAAUUGUUACUGUCAACGUGAUUAAAUUUGGUCGUGGAGGUAGCUAACAUUGUCUUGGUGUCAUUUUCAUAUCCAUAUAUGCUAAUGUUCUCACUGUAAUUCGUGAAUUUUCUUUGUCAUUUAUUUAAUUU